CAGCACAACGAGUGAAGAGACGGAAGGAGGUGCUUGAAUCGUGACUAGAGCACCUGUUGGCGUUCAGCACGGCUCAGAGUUGAUGCACCUGCACCGGACUGAGUGGCUUGUGUGGAAGUCUAAAGCAAACGAUGUGUGGUGUGAUGAGAAAUACAAAGUUGGAAGUGUGGAGUGACUGAAGAUAUCAACUUAACGUUUGCACUUUUGGCUGUACUAUUACAAUCCUUUCGUUUGCUGGAUAAAGAGGGUGACGCAGUUUACAUCACUAUCCCCAUUAUGUCCCAGGC